GCCCUACGGGGCGCAGCAGUGAGGAAUAUUGGUCAAUGGUCGGGAGACUGAACCAGCCAAGCCGCGUGAGGGAUGAAGGUACAGAGUAUCGUAAACCUCUUUUGUCAGGGAACAAAGGCGGGGACGCGUCCCCGGAUGAGUGUACCUGAAGAAAAAGCAUCGGCUAACUCCGUGCCAGCAGCCGCGGUAAUACGGAGGAUGCGAGCGUUAUCCGGAUUUAUUGGGUUUAAAGGGUGCGCAGGCGGUCCGUUAAGUCAGCGGUCAAAGCCCGGGGCUCAACCCCGGCCCGCC
rnacentral:rRNA from 1 species